UACGGAGGGUGCAAGCAUUAGUCGGAAUUAUUGGGCGUAAAGGGCGCGUAGGCGGAAUUGCAAGUCAGAUGUGAAAUACCGAGGCUUAACUUCGGUGCUGCAUUCGAAACUACUUUUCUAGAGGAUAGGCGGAGAAAACGGAAUUCCACAUGUAGCGGUGAAAUGCGUGGAUAUGUGGAAGAACACCGGUGGCGAAAGCGGCUUUCUAGCUUAUUCCUGACGCUGAGGCGCGAGAGCAAGGGGAGCAAAUAGG
rnacentral:rRNA from 1 species